CGUGAAUCAGGAGAAAACGGUUGCCCGAUGCAGCUUUUAGAUGUGCCUCGUCAUUCUGGGUGUGGAAUCGCCGAACAGCCCAUUUCCUCAGCACUCGAGCGUGCUCAAUACAUAGUAUCAUAUCGGCCUUUCCGGUGUAGGGAACUACAUGGGAUAUCGAAUAAUGCGAUAUUCGGUACUGUCGUGCGACGUAUGCAGUACCUGGUGACAGUAAGGGGCAAAUGCGGUAAGAUGGAUCACUGCAGACUUCUGCGGCCUCAAAGUAAAUGACGAAGGCAAGGGCUUUAAACGAGGGAUUCAGGGCAGGUAUGCAAGACUGUAGUACAGUGUCAGUAGCCGAUCAGCAUCUAGGUGUAAACUCCAACUGAGAAGGUAACGCACUUCGCUUCGACGGUCUGGCGAUGAUGCCUUGCCAGCUACGCCUUCGAGCAUCUUGUAGCAGAUGCUUGAUUUGCAGGGAGGUGCCUUUUGUAUGCUGAUAUACUUGGGAGGAGCCUUCAUGCUCUAUUGGCGGUCCAUCGUACUGGUUUAUCUCCCUCAGGACAGAGCAAGACUGGGGUGACCACAAGCGAUGCGCCAGCAGUUUGAGCAAGGAUGUCACCGAAAGCACUAGAUCUUCUCCAUAGGAAUAAUAUUGUAUUGGACGUACCAGUAGGAUUACCUGCACACCUCUGAGACACACACCGAACAAACAGUCAGAAUGGGGAUGGCGGCAUUGAUUGCAAACACCAGUGCAUAUCGUGACAUCGAUUGAGCAUUCUGAAGUUCCCCCUAAAGACACCAGGAUUCUAAGGAUACAACGCAGCGCUUUGAUGAACGGGCACCGGUGCGGUUUAGCGGUUCUUGCUGGUCCGUUUAGUGCGGCCGAGUCCUGAGAAGCACCAGUCACUGACUACGAAGGUGUUGAUGGUGCACGCAGCUGGGAGAAGAGCAGCAGGAGCCGUGCACAUAGUUGUGUACGGCUGACGGAAGUUAUGUAUUGAAGAGAGUGUUGCGUGCUACUAGACGAUGCUGUUAAGAGGGGACAGAGGGUCGUUAACCGAUGCGUGAGAAAGAGUGUCCAAAAACAUCUGUUUUUUUGCGCAGCCUACGGGAGUAAGUAUUUUUGCCAGGUAUCGUGUGCAUUAUGCUACCCACGCCUAUUGAUGAGCUUGAUGAGUUUCUAGAAGGGUCGCCGGACAUCGCAAAAAACACAAUGAAAUGAGUCACGCGAGCCACGAGCAACAAAAGGAAGCAGCCGUCCAGACGUCAGCGUCAUUCUUCUUUGUCGGUCGCCCCGGUGGUAUGCCAUCAUGCGUCACGACGUUGCGUGAGACUCCUAUCCUCGUAGGGAGGAAAGUGUUGACAGGAGGACGAUGCACCACGUCAACACAGUGGAGGCCUGAGCCUAGCCCUUCGAGAAGGCGCGCCCAGACGGAUCAUUCGCUGCGACUUCUGCUUCCAAACACUCGGGAAGCGUCAUAAGAAAUAACUCAUCCUGUAAAUUAUUCUGCAUGAUGAUAUCAUCGUGCAAGACUGCGACUAAAUUAGGUGAGCCUUCGCAUCCACAGGCACCUCAGGUAAGAGCAUUUGAUCUAUGGUAUACCUCGAGGGUCUGCCGAGUUUCGGGGAGGGACGGAGGGAAGGUCAUUCUCAGUAGUGCGGGCGUGAAGAUUAGUUGCGAAGCUGAACGGAAGUAGGUAGACAGGGCUCAAAUGAAAACUACCGCAGGUCAUCCCCUUCUCAAACUGCGGCUUCAUCGCGAUGUUACGGUGCGUUUUGGAGUUGCAGUCACUGAUAGGAAGUGUGCACUUCCCGCAGUGUCUCGCUUCAACUAUUGUUGGCGAUCUACGCUGGCGUAUCUAAGGGAAGCCGCCCAGACAUAGCUGACUACCACGAGAAUUUAAAUUUGUUGUGCGAGCGUUGCCGACGCGACAACAGACGCGACUUGGGGGUCAAAUGUAUAACAUAGCAUGGGCAAACGGACGGUUAUGCCUUUCUCUUGCCGGCGUCCGCGCUACUCCCAGUGUCUCGAUUCAACGCGGAAUGCCCCAGAGAAACAAGCAUAAGGCGCACGCCACAAUGAUAUAACUCGCGUUGGGUGUGAACCGAGGCAAUGCCCGCAGUGUGUCGCUAUUAGCUCACACACAGCAGCACCCAGCUGACCUUGGGUUCUGGACCAAUCCUUCUAAAAGCCUUCUCGGAUAGCCUCAACUGUGCGCGUCCAAGACCACGAAGAAGUCCUGUGAGAGGGGAGUGGCAAUCGCAACUGCCUAUGCUUGCGCAGGUACGUCAGCGCAAGCCGUCAUGGUGCGACAUCUAGUUUGCGGACUGCCGUGGGUUCCACGUCAGGACACCGUGGGAAUACGGUUGUGGACAGCCACAGAAGGUGAGGCUUGCCUGUGUUGUUUAUUUGAUUUAUCUGUUGUGGCCAGAACUAUACGCGGUUGAAAAAGAGCCAAAAGGAUGCUGCGUCAGCAUGUCGGUGUGAGUGGAGUAGGGAAGAUAGGCGAACAUGGAUAGUCGAGUACGUCAGUGCAGUGGGGCAUAAUGUGAAAUCUGUCUUGUGGCCAGCCGCGAGCUCACAACAGUCUUGCUAUAUGCCUGUGUCCAGGCGCAGGAGGUGAGGCUCGGCUUUUCAUUCUUCGGUUUUCCUGUUGUGUGAAUGAACGGAUGCAGGUGCGCGAGAGCAUGAAGGGUGCUGUGUCAGAGUGUCAGUGACAAUGUGGUAGGAACGGUAGGUGAACAUGGUUAAUCCUCUACACCCCUGCGUGAUGACAUUGUUUCACACGUGAUUUGACAGCUGCCAUGAGCGUCGUGUGAGAACACCAUCAGAAUUUUGUAGUGAGCUGCCACGGAAGGUGAGGACCGCGUUUGAGUCCCAUUUGACUUUGUCCGCUGUGUGCAGCUCUAGAUGCGGUAGAGCGCGCGCCUAAGGUGAACUGAGUCAGCAGACGCAGCGAGAGGGGGGGGGAUGGGGGGAGAGUGACGUAGGAGAGGAGGAUGAGGAUGGCUGGUCGUGUACGUCGGCGCAUGGGGGCAGGAUGUGACAUCGCAUUUGUGGUCUCCCAUGAGCUCGAUGUUAUGUCUCAGCACAUGCUUCGAAUGUGAUUGUGGCCAGG
rnacentral:lncRNA from 1 species